rnacentral:rRNA from 1 species
CUAGCUGUAAACGAUGGAUACUAGGCGUUGAGAGUAUCGGCCCUCUCAGUGUCGUAGCUAACGCGUUAAGUAUCCCGCCUGGGGAGUACGCGCGCAAGCGUGAAACUCAAAGGAAUUGACGGGGGCCCGCACAAGCGGUGGAGUAUGUGGUUUAAUUCGAUGCAACGCGAAGAACCUUACCAGGGCUUGACAUGUCCGGAACCCUGCCCAAAGGCGGGGGUGCCUACGGGAACCGGAACACAGGUGGUGC